rnacentral:rRNA from 1 species
UACAGAGGUCCCGAGCGUUGUUCGGAUUUAGUGGGCGUAAAGGGUGCGUAGGUGGCAAAGUCAGUUGGAUGUGAAAUCCUGGGGCUCAACCUCAGAAUUGCAUUCAAUACUGCUUAGCUAGAGAGCUGUAGAGGAGACUGGAAUUUACGGUGUAGCAGUGAAAUGCGUAGAUAUCGUAAGGAACGCCAGUGGCGAAAGCGAGUCUCUGGGCAGCAUCUGACACUGAGGCACGAAGGCCAGGGGAGCAAACGGG